rnacentral:rRNA from 1 species
GAUGAACGCUAGCGGCAGGCUUAAUACAUGCAAGUCGAGGGGCAGCGCGGGUAGCAAUACCUGGCGGCGACCGGCAAACGGGUGCGGAACACGUACGCAACCUUCCUUUAAGUGGAGAAUAGCCCGGGGAAACCCGGAUUAAUACUCCGUAAUAUUAUGAAGUGGCAUCACUUUAUAAUUAUAGAUUUAUCGCUUAAAGAUGGGCGUGCGCCUGAUUAGGUAGUUGGCGGGGUAAUGGCCCACCAAGCCUUCGAUCAGUAACUGGUGUGAGAGCACGACCAGUCACACGGGCACUGAGACACGGGCCCGACUCCUACGGGAGGCAGCAGUAAGGAAUAUUGGACAAUGGGGGCAACCCUGAUCCAGCGACGCCGCGUGGAGGACGAAGGUCUUCGGAUUGU